rnacentral:rRNA from 1 species
UGGGGAAUAUUGGACAAUGGGGGAAACCCUGAUCCAGCCAUGCCGCGUGUGUGAAGAAGGCCUUUUGGUUGUAAAGCACUUUAAGCAGUGAAGAAGACUCUUCGGUUAAUACCCGGAGACGAUGACAUUAGCUGCAGAAUAAGCACCGGCUAACUCUGUGCCAGCAGCCGCGGUAAUACAGAGGGUGCAAGCGUUAAUCGGAAUUACUGGGCGUAAAGCGAGCGUAGGUGGCUUGAUAAGUCAGAUGUGAAAUCCCCGGGCUUAACCUGGGAACUGCAUCUGAAACUGUUAGGCUAGAGUAGGUGAGAGGGAAGUAGAAUUUCAGGUGUAGCGGUGAAAUGCGUAGAGAUCUGAAGGAAUACCGAUGGCGAAGGCAGCUUCCUGGCAUCAUACUGACACUGAGGCUCGAAAGCGUGGGUAGCAAACAGGAUUAGAUACCCUGGUAGUCCACGCCGUAAACGAUGUCUACUAGUCGUUGGGUCCCUUGAGGACUUAGUGACGCAGCUAACGCAAUAAGUAGACCGCCUGGGGAGUACGGCCGCAAGGUUA